CCUACGGGGGGCAGCAGUGGGGAAUAUUGGACAAUGGGCGAAAGCCUGAUCCAGCCAUGCCGCGUGUGUGAAGAAGGCCUUCGGGUUGUAAAGCACUUUCAGUGGGGAAGAAAGCCUUGGGGCUAAUACCCUCGAGGAAGGACAUCACCCACAGAAGAAGCACCGGCUAACUCCGUGCCAGCAGCCGCGGUAAUACGGAGGGUGCGAGCGUUAAUCGGAAUUACUGGGCGUAAAGCGCGCGUAGGCGGUCUGAUAAGCCGGUUGUGAAAGCCCCGGGCUCAACCUGGGAACGGCAUCCGGAACUGUCAGGCUAGAGUGCAGGAGAGGAAGGUAGAAUUCCCGGUGUAGCGGGGAAAUGCGUAGAGAUCGGGAGGAAUACCAGUGGCGAAGGCGGCCUUCUGGACUGACACUGACGCUGAGGUGCGAAAGCGUGGGUAGCAAACAGGAUUAGAUACCCUUGUAGUC
rnacentral:rRNA from 1 species